UACGUAGGGGGCUAGCGUUGUCCGGAAUCAUUGGGCGUAAAGCGCGCGUAGGCGGCCAGAUAAGUCCGGUGUGAAAGUCACAGGCUCAACCUGUGAAUGCCGCUGGAAACUGUCUGGCUAGAGUCCGGAAGGGGCGAGUGGAAUUCCUGGUGUAGCGGUGAAAUGCGCAGAUAUCAGGAAGAACACCCGUGGCGAAAGCGGCUCUCUGGAACGGUACUGACGCUGAGACGCGAAAAGCGUGGGUAGCAAACAGG
rnacentral:rRNA from 1 species